rnacentral:lncRNA from 1 species
CCCAGGGGCGGUGUCCGGAGUGACAGCUCCAGGAAGCGGCCACCAGGUGGCGUGUGCGCCUUACUUCCUUCCCAGGUUUCCAGCCGCGGGAGGCAGAGGGUGGUGCUGGGGUUCCAGGAAGCCGAAGGUCCUUUCACAGAUGGACCGUUAAGCCAGCCCAGGGGACGGCAGAGCAGCCUGAGGGAGCAAGAACUGUCACCACGGUCUGCCCGCGAAGCACUGAGGUGAUGCUGGGGUUGCAGUGAGCUGUCAAACUAGAUGUGUCAGAAAUGAGAAAGGAGAUGAGAGAACAAAUUAGAAUACAGAGUGAUCGACACUUUGAUGAAGGAAGUAAGUGGAGCCUGGGGUCCAUGAAACCCACUGCCAAACCAACCCAGACAGACUCAGUGUGACAUUACAAGCAUCCUGGGUGGAACUGCAAGACAUAGUUAUUUCAAGAUUAUGAAGAGUGUGGUAGCCAAACUCCAAGAUGGCCGCAUGAUCCCUCCUCCAGGUACUCGUGCCCUUGUAUGGUAUGCUCCCACAGUCUUCCGAGGAUUCCGUUGUAUGACUGAUCGAAUACAGCAGAGGCGAUGGCAUAGGACAUCUGAGGCUACAUCAUCUAAGGGAUACACAGGAAUUCACUCCCAUCCUCCCAUGUGGCUUCUACUUUGCUCUUAAUCUCUCAGAUCUCUCACCCUGGCAGACACCAUCCACCAUGUCCUGAGGACACUCAAGCAGCUCUGUGGCCUCCUGACAAUAGCUGUUAGGUGAAACACCUUGGGUGCAGACCCUCUAGCCCCACUCCAGCCUUCAGAAGACAGCAGCCCCAGCUCACAUGGGACCCUGAGCCAGACCACCAAGCAAACCACUCCCAGAUUCCUGACCCACAGAAACUGUGAGAUAAUGAAAGUCUGCUGUUAGAAGUCACUAAGUUCAGUGUAACUGUCACGGGCAAGAGACAGCCAAUACAAUACUUUCGUGCUUCAUACAUCAUUUUUCCAUCUAUCCAAAAUGGGAAGAAUACUUCACAGACUUGAUGUGAAGCUGCAAGACUCCUGGUACUCCACUGAUGCAGGUGGGUCAGAGGUGUGGCUACCAGCAAAUGCUAAAUUGCAUCUUUGACUCCGCUGACACUCCUGAGGCAGUGCUGGUCCGGAUGUUUCUCAGUGUGGACUCCUCGUCCCAGACCGAGGAUGCUGGGGGUCCCUAACCUUCCACCUUCCACUCCAGCAACACUUUGCAUCUAGGGAGCAUCUGCAAUGCUAUGCACUACUUUUUUUAUUUAUUUUUUUUUUUUUGAGACAGAGUCUCCCUCUGUCACUCAACCUCCCAAGUUGCUGGGACUAUAGGCACCCGCCACCACACCUGGAUAAGUUUUUGUAUUUUUAGUAGAUACAGGGAAUCGCCAUGUUGGCCAGGCUGGUCUCGAACUCCUGACCUCAGGUGAUCCACCUGCCUCGGCCUCCCAAAGUACUAACAUUACCGGCCUGAGCCACCACACCCAGCCACUGUGUAUUUCUUGUGCAUUUUCACCCUGAAUCCUUACUAGGGUAUUAAGAAGUAGGUCUUAACCUCAGCCCCGUCUCACAGGUGAAGAAGCAAAAGAGAGGCUGACGGAUUUGUCCAAGGUAACACAGCACUCAGCAGGGUUGCAGUGGAGCCUCAGCUUGAACUGAGCAUGCCUACUGCAAACACUGGGAUGUGAAUCACCGUCGUAGUAUUCCCAAAGCCUUCGUCCACCUUUCCACGAGGUACAGCGCAGGAGCAUGUUAAAGCUGGCCACCAUCAACUCUAGGGAACUGCUCCUGCCUCAAAAGUGUCAGCAAUGCCUAAAGCUCUACAAUGUCAUUAAUCAAAAGUCAGCAAGGCCGAGGCGGACAGAUCACCUGAGGUCAGGAGCUCCAGACUAGUCUGGCCAACAUGGUGAAACACCGUCUCUACUAAAAGUACAAAAUCAGCCAGGCUGUGGUGGCGGGCACCUGUAAUCUCAGCUACUUGGGAGGCUAAGGGAGGAGAAUCGCUUGAACCUGGGAGGUACAGGUUGCAGUGAGCCAAGACCACCGCCAUUGCACUCCAGCCUGAGCGACGAGAUCAAAACCCCAACUCAAAAAAAAAAAAAAAAAAAAGUCAGCAAGCUUUGGCCUGGGGUCACCCCUUUAACUUCCUGGGCAGAGAGAGGGUCGUGUGUGUCUCAAGCAAGACCCUGUCUCAAAAGAGAGAGGGCGGGAGAGCAACGGAGAGAAAGAGGGAAGGACAGAGAGGUGCAGAGAAAGCGGGAGGGGGGUGGGAAGGAGAGGUGUAUAAAAAGAGAGAGAGACAAAGAUAUAGACAGACACAGAUAUCAAAAGAGAGAGAAACAGAGGGGGACAGAAGCUACCUACUCUUUCCUGUACCAGCCACAAGAAUUACUCAGACCCACCCACAGAGUUCUGGGAUUUCUGUUUCUGUACAUCGUUUCUGAACUUAUAAUGAGAAGACACAUAUUUUAUUGUUUCUCUUUUUGCAGUUUUCUAGUAGACAUUGGUCAUGGAAAAAUCUGGUGACCAAGAAAUCAAAAAUGUGUUUGUUCCCCUCCUUCCUCAACACAGAGAAUGGUCCUCAUGCCACAUCCACCCUCCAGCUUAUUGAAGUGAACAAAUAAACACAAAUGAUGUCCCCUG